rnacentral:rRNA from 1 species
AGCUCCAAUAGCGUAUAUUAAAAUUGUUGCAGUUAAAAAGCUCGUAGUUGGAUUUUUUGUAGUAGUGUGGUUGUGUAUGAUGAUACAUUGUACGGACAACACUCUGCAUUUCUUGUAGAGAUGGCGCGGGCAUUGAGUUGUCUGUUCCUAUCCCUCUACAUCGUUUACUGUGAAAAAAUUAGAGUGUUUCAAGCAGGGUUAUAUGCCUGAAUACAUUAGCAUGGAAUAAUAAGAUAUGACUUUGGCGGUCUAUUUUGUUGGUUUGCACGUUAGAGUAAUGAUUAAUAGGGACAGUUGGGGGUAUUCAUAUUUGAGCGUCAGAGGUGAAAUUCUUGGAUCGCUGAAAGAUGAGCUAAGGCGAAAGCAUUUACCAAGGAUGUUUUCAUUAAUCAAGAACGAA